rnacentral:rRNA from 1 species
GAUGAACGCUGGCGGCGUGCCUAAUACAUGCAAGUCGAGCGAAUGGAUUAAGAGCUUGCUCUUAUGAAGUUAGCGGCGGACGGGUGAGUAACACGUGGGUAACCUGCCCAUAAGACUAGGAUAACUCCGGGAAGCCGGGGCUAAUACCGGAUAACAUUUUGAACCGCAUGGUUCGAAAUUGAAAGGCGGCUUCGGCUGUCACUUAUGGAUGGACCCGCGUCGCAUUAGCUAGUUGGUGAGGUAACGGCUCACCAAGGCAACGAUGCGUAGCCGACCUGAGAGGGUGAUCGGCCACACUAGGACUGAGACACGGCCCAGACUCCUACGGGAGGCAGCAGUAGGGAAUCUUCCGCAAUGGACGAAAGUCUGACGGAGCAACGCCGCGUGAGUGAUGAAGGCUUUCGGGUCGUAAAACUCUGUUGUUAGGGAAGAACAAGUGCUAGUUGAAUAAGCUGGCACCUUGACGGUACCUAACCAGAAAGCCACGGCUAACUACGUGCCAGCCGCCGCAGUAA